CAAAACAAGAAAUCCAAUCUGGGCGUUGCCCUAAUCCAGAACAAUGGCGAGACCGACGAUCACCCGGCAAUUAAUCCCUUCCUCUUCAACCACCCCCGGUGCGGCCACUGCCACCACCACCAUAACCCUUGAAACGGGGUCAUCCUCCAAUCAACAGCAGCCGCAGAUUAGAGAUUCUUUAGUGCUGAAACUGAAGCGUCCUAAAAAGAAGGUUUCGUGGAAGGAAGGGACCGUUGACAACGAGUUUAUGAACAAAAAGAGCUCCAAGAAGUGCUGUAUUUUUCACAAGGAAAAGCCUUUUGAUGAGGAUGAUUCUGAUGUCGAAGGCGACUGCGAUCACGAUCAUCGUAAUAAUGGAAGAGAUAGCAAUGAAAAACAUAACCACAAUCAUGGAGGCGAUGGAAACUGCUGCCAUGCUCCGUGAGUCGGUCAUAGAUUGAUUGCGGACGUUCUGUUAGAUUCUAUAUCAAUGCUUAGUUGCUUGCAGACAAUUCUUGGAGAGGAGGAUCCAUCUCGAAGAUUCAUCGGUAUUGUUUUUCUAGGAGGGGUUUUGAUAGAUUGCAAAUUUUAGUAGAGUUGUGUUGCUGAUAUGAGGUAUAGAUGUCGGUUUAUACGGGAAAUACUCAUCCAAAGGCCUUUGAGAGCUUGCGGCAAUCGCGAUCGUCUCAUGGUUCAGCCAAUAUAUCAAUAUUAUAAUGUGUAAUUGCUUAAGUUAUGAUUUUCAGAGUUAUCAUUUGUUUUAAGACAUGGAGGAGUUAUAGCAGUAAUCUGAUGAUUGACACUCAUUAUGGAUUUACAAAUCCGACCCAAUAUUGCGCUUUGAUAAAAUGGUAUAUUGUAGGGCCUGAGGCCUGAACUCCAUUA